AGGACUGUAGCUCAAAGGAAGAGCAUCUGAAGGUACAGAAGGUCCCAGGUUCAAUUCCUGCCAACUCUA